GGGCAUGUGGUCUAGGGGUAUGAUUUUCCCUUCGCACUGAAUUUCAAAGCGCGUCUGGGAAAGGUCCAGGGUUCAAUUCCCUGCAUGUCCA